UUUCUCCCACAGGGAGAGGAGCCAGGCAU
rnacentral:sRNA from 1 species